rnacentral:lncRNA from 1 species
GUUUUCUGCCCUACGUGUUUCCAGUCAACGGCGGCCAUCCCAAGCCUGGAGAUCCUCUUCACACGUCGACGGUCGACAGAUCGGAGCUCCGACUCAUCAACUUGCAGCUCACCAAACAGGACAAUUACAAUGCUUGGGCUCGAGACCUCCGGCAAGCGCUUGUAAAAAAGGACAAGGAUGGUUUCCUUGAUAGAACCGUCCCCUAUUCGACCAACGAACGAUUGCAACGAUUUUGGAGAAAAUGCAACCAAUUAAUGCAUACCUGGAUUGGAGAUUGUCUCGCUCCGAAAGUUGCAACUAGGCUACCGCCAACUGAGGACUCGAAGACCUUUUGGGCGAACAUUUGAGAGAUGUAUGGGCAUCUUGAUCCGGCGAAGCUCUUUACUAUCACUCAGGCCAUUUCAGAACUGAGAAAAGGAAAUCAAUCAGUCACUACCUGCUUCAAUCGACUCUCGACUCUCUGGAAUGAGCUCGAGACGGCUGAGGAACGUCUCGAGGGACCUAAAGCAACGUUGCAAUAAUACCGAAAAAUUAAGGAACGGGAGAAAGUGACUCGGUAUCUACUUAUUUUGAACGACACAUACUCACCCUUUCGAUCACAAAUCUUGGCGAUGGACCCAUUACCUUCGCUCGGCCAAAUCUACCAACUGGCAGUCCAAGAGGAAAGCCAACGGCAAGCC